AUGGAGGCGCGGCGGCGGACGUUGCUGGUGGCGCUGGCGGUGCUGGCCCUGGCGGCGGCGGCGGCGGAGGGGUACAACAUCACCAAGAUCCUGGCCGAGUACCCGGAGUACUCGCAGUUCAACAAGCUGCUGACGCAGACGCGGCUGGCGCAGGACAUCAACAAGCGCCGCACCAUCACCGUGCUCGUCGUGGCCAACGGCGACAUGGGCGGCCUCGCCGGCGGGGGCCGCACGCUGCAGACCAUCCGCCACAUGCUCCAGAUUCACGUCCUCGUCGACUACUACGGCGGCAAGAAGCUCCACCAGCUCGCCCACGGCGUCACCGCAUGCUCCACCAUGUUCCAGGAGUCCGGCGCGGCCCCCGGCAUGUCCGGGUACGUGAACAUCACGCAGCACCGGGGCGGCAAAGUGACGUUCACGGCGGAGGACGCGGAGGACAGCGCGCCCUCCUCCGCCUUCGUCAAGUCCGUCAAGGAGAUCCCCUACGACCUGGCGGUGCUCCAGAUCAGCAAGGUGCUGGCCUCACCGGAGGCCGAGGCGCCCGUGGCGGCGCCGGCGCCCGUCAACAUCACCGAGCUGCUCUCCAAGAAGUACUGCAAGAGCUUCGCCGGCCUGCUGGCCGCCGACGCCGACGCCUACAGCACCAUCAACGCCACCAAGGACAACGGGCUCACCCUCUUCUGCCCCGUCGACUCCGCCGUCGCCUCCUUCAUGCCCAAGUACAAGAACCUGACGGCCAAGGGCCGGACGGCCAUCCUGCUCUACCACGCCGUGCCGGACUACUACUCGCUGCAGCUGCUCACCUCCAACAGCGGCAAGGUCAGCACGCUCGCCACCUCCAACGUCGCCAAGAAGGACUACAGCUUCGACGUCGAGAAGGACGGCGAGACCGCCGAGCUGGACACCAAGGUGAACUCGGCCUCGGUCACCUACACCAUCAAGGACGACGACCCGCUCGCCGUCUACGCCAUCUCCAAGUUCCUGCAGCCCAAGGAGCUGUACAAGAUCGCCAAGGACAUCGCCCCCGCGCCGGCGCCCGAGGCCCCCAAGAAGAAGAAGACCACCAAGAAGAAGCCCUCCGCGGCCGCCUCGCCCUCGGACGACGACGACGACGAUGACUCCGCCGCGGACUCGCCCGACGACUCCUCAUCCGACGACGCCACCGCUGACAAGGACGGCGCCGCGCCGUCCGCGGUGGCCGGGUGGGUGACGGCCGCCGUGGCCGUGGCCUCGGCGCUGGCAUUGGCAGCUUAA
rnacentral:rRNA from 1 species